UACGUAGGUGGCAAGCGUUGUCCGGAUUUAUUGGGUUUAAAGGGUGCGUAGGCGGCUUUGUAAGUCAGUGGUGAAAUAUCGCAGCUUAACUGUGAGGGUGCCAUUGAUACUGCAGAGCUUGAGUACAGAUGAGGUAGGCGGAAUUGACGGUGUAGCGGUGAAAUGCUUAGAUAUCGUCAAGAACACCUAUAGCGAAGGCAGCUUACUAGGCUGUAACUGACGCUGAGGCACGAAAGCGUGGGGAGCAAACAGG
rnacentral:rRNA from 1 species